GUGCUUGUGGUGUACUGGUCAUCACAUUCGAUUAACACGCGAAAGGUCCCAGGUUCAAUCCCUGGCAGGCACA